rnacentral:rRNA from 1 species
UACAGAGGGGGCAAGCGUUGUUCGGAAUUACUGGGCGUAAAGGGCGCGUAGGCGGCCUGUUAAGUCGAACGUGAAAUCCCCGGGCUCAACCCGGGAACUGCGUCCGAUACUGGCAGGCUUGAAUCCGGGAGAGGGAUGCGGAAUUCCAGGUGUAGCGGUGAAAUGCGUAGAUAUCUGGAGGAACACCGGUGGCGAAGGCGGCAUCCUGGACCGACACUGACGCUGAGGCGCGAAAGCUAGGGGUAGCAAACGGG